rnacentral:lncRNA from 1 species
AUUUUGGCUCCACUGUCUUAAAUGUGUUUCUAUACCAGAUGGAAUUCAGUCCCUUUAAGGGAACUUCUACUAAACCAUUUUGUGUCAAGUACAAUAAUGUCUCCACAACUAAAAUUCCUAUUGUACAGAAUUCUGGAUAUACUUACUUGUACUUUUUCUACAAGUGUGAGCAUUUAGGAUGUUAUGUAAAAAUAUAAGUAAUUUUUCUUGAAGAUAAUUUUUUUAGAAUUAUAAUAAAAUAUGGGAUCCUGAGAGAAGAAAAGGAGGUGAAAUAUAUAGCAGAGCAAGUGCAGAUAUUUUUGUAAUGUAAUUUGGAUGGAAUAUAGGAAGCUGAGGCAAUUAAACAAAGGAAAGGAAUUUAAAUUGGAAGUUCAGGACAAGAGCAAUGUUCUCUAUGGUCACUUAUGCAUUGGCAGUAAGUUUUCUUGAAUGUAAAACAAUGAAAUAGGAAGGAUUUAAAGAAUAUCUUAUACUAUAAUUUUCUCCUUCAAAUAUCCUAAGCUAAAUAAGGCAAAUGAAUAAUCAAAAAGCAUUGACCAUUUGAUGGAGUUACAAGGGAAAAUGUUUCUUAC